rnacentral:tRNA from 1 species
UGGUGCAACUGGUUACCACAUUUGGCUGUUAACCAAAAGAUUGGUGGUUUGAGCCCACC